rnacentral:tRNA from 1 species
AGGAUUUUAGUUUAUAAAAACAUUUGAUUUGCAUUCAAAAAAUAUUAAUAUUUUAAUAUAUCUUA